UCUGCCUUUUUCUCGCUUUGCGCGCAAUUUCUAGCGAGCCAACCAGCCGCGGGCCAGCAGCCGAACCAGUGCGAAAGCCGGUAACCGGCACAACGCGCCAUACCAAAGCGAUCAGCCGAUUGGCUGGCCGCCCGCGACUCGACCAAUCGCAAUGCGUCUUCGGUCGUCAGGUGGUGCUGCGUUCUCGCAGACACGAACGCCUGCUACAUCGGAAAAAGUUGGUUCCUGGCAGUUUUGACGACAUUACGGAUUUUAAGAAUAAAAAGUUUAUAUCUAUGAUAUUGUCUCUUGCGACUAAAUCAAUUGAUCUUUCUUAUUGAGGCCUGCACGUGUAGGUUACUUCUUCUGUUCCUAUAUACUUCCAAGCUAUAUUCCAUUUUAUUGCAUUUUCCAGAAAAAUUCCAAACAAGAUGUGUAGGCCAAUAAAAAGCAAAGUGGCAAAGACAUGAAAUAACAGUUCUUAGAAGAACAUUUUCCUGAAACCGUAAAUCAUCCAACUCAAGCAAGUGCACAUAAAUGGACCAUCAUACAUCGAAUUUUCCAUAUACAUACAUACUGUACAACACAUUUGAAACUAUGAAAAUACAUUAUGGCUGCCAACCAUUGUCAGUUCAUGAAAAUCAUCUGUGGAGUUUCUAUCGAAUUGUUGUUCUGCUAAAUGGACGCAUUUACACCUCUUCGAACACAAUAUGUACGAAGAUUGCUCGAAAUUAUCACCGGUGUAGAUAUAUCAACCUAACCCAACAAUCUUAAAGUACGACGUCUGCUACAAGUGCUUCGUGCAGUCAUACAAGCCGUAUAACUUCGAUUUUUAAACCUGGUAUUUUAAGUUAUAUUUACCAUAGUAUGUUACAUUCUAAAGCACAGCUAAUGCGAGUAAAAUAAUAGAUUGGUAAUAAAAGGCGGCAAAUAAAAGCAGUGGGAAGAAUUCAUAAUUUGUACUAAAUAUCAGCAUGGGAUUCUUGCACGAUAAUGUAAUAAUUAAUAAUAUUAAUAUGUCUACAUACUAUGAGUUAUAGACAUAGAGAUCAGAAUAAUCAACAAAGGAAGACAUAUCAUAUUUCUCUUCGUUUAUUAAUUUUAUCGUUUAUUUAUUAAUACCAGGUAUCUUGUGACUUGUAAAAAUUUCAUUAACAACAAUAGUUUAAUUGUGCAAGACGACCCUGGAAAAAAACUUUGCUACAUUCUCAUUAAUCAAAGAUCAUCUAACAAUACCAACCCACGAAACACAAAUUACAGAGACGAGUCAUCUCGAGAGCCAUUAUUCGUAAUGUACGUGUGUUUUACUGAUUUCUGUCACUUCUUUCCCUUCCAUUUUCGCCUGUUUUCUUCUUCACCUUCGCGUCUGGCCGAAAUAGGUCACGGUGCAAAGCAAAGGAGCAAGAUGGGACGGGACGGCAGCGACAUGGAGAAAAGCCAGCCGAGGACGAGGAUCACGCGCGUUGAGUACGUGCCUUGCAUCCGGAGGCGCGUUGCGUUCCGUUCGCCAUUGCCUGAUUAACUCGACGUCAUUUAUCAGAUUAAACGGAUAAUGCUGGUUAGCGUCUGACGUAACACCGCACUCCCAAGAACCGCCGUUUCUCAAAGAUUCUUUAUUAUCUUACUGGUCUGCCUAUGGACACACCAACGUUACGCAAUCGAACAAGCCGCUGAAAUUGGAUGCGAACAAUCGGCCGUGUUAACGAGUUCAUUGUGUUUCUGUCCAAAACGCGAUACUAGCCGGGUGGCCCUGCUGUUAUGUAACCUAGCUAUGGCUAUCUAUCGAGUUUAAUAAACGAAGGAAGAAAAUGAAAUUUAGGAUAAAGAUGUAUGGAAAUUAUUUCUGUGAGAAAUGUUUAGUUAUUUAGUAAAUUAGUAAUGAUCAGAUUGCCUGUGUAAAUAAAUGGAAUGUAAAUUUGUUUCAUUCUCUAAAUAUUACAACCUAGUACUUUACUUUGAAGAUUUUGUAUAUUCCUGCAAUUUAUAUGUAUUCUGUACAUUUAAGUAGAGUAAUUAGUAAUUACAUUUUAGUAACUCGAAUACAUUUUUAUGAAGAUUUGAAGAUGCUGUGACAUGUGAAGUAGUAAUUCAUUUUUUUAUUAUGAAUCAGUAAUAAAUUGUUAACUGUAACUUAAAUUUAUUUUUAUGGAGAUUGCAGAAAUUGUAUCGCAAAGUAAUAAAUUCCGUUUUUUACUAGGAAUUUCUUAGAAACACGCUGUAAAGUUUUAUGACACCAUCGUCAUUGUAGAUAUUGAACACUUGUAAUUGUUUGUACACCAGGCAAAAUUGAGUAUAAUACAGUGCCAAAGCGAAGCAUGAUAAACUCUCACAUGGCACAUCCAAAAGGUCGGCUUCAACGACGAAAUCACAGUCAUCUCGCUGCGAACGCACAGUUUAACCGGUAAUUAGAGUUUACGGCAGCCACGUUGAUUAGGUCGUUAAAGAAACUAUUACGCCGACUAAAUACAGUCUAGGCACUCCCACUAGUCUCCGUUGAAUUGCAAUUUGAUGCAGUAGGUACGUUGAUCACGUGAACAUUAAUAUCCGUUUUCUAGACUUCUUACAAUUUUCAUGAUCCAUACUGUAAGAUUUACGAAUUUUUUAUCGUUCGAGAUAAAAAAUAGAAAAUGAAGAAUUGGAGGAAUAUGCAUCUUUUAUUCAUAAAAAAUAAACUAAGAUCUUUAAAUAUUAUUAAAUUUUCUACAAUUCCAAUUAACGAACGAAGGAAAUUAAAUGUUUACAGAAUUAUAAAUUCUUUGUAAAAAUGUAAUAUCCUUAAGAUACUCGAAGAGGCUCUAUAUAGCGAUUGUCAACAAUGUUCAACUAAAUAAUAACUUUAAAAUGAAAUUCUUCAUGCAAACAGUUUAACAAGACAAUGGUUUAGACGCUUGAAUACACAUUGCAUUUGUAUAACGAGUUUAUUCUCAAAGACUCUUUAUUUCACCAAGGUUAUAAAAUUACACUGCGCAGCUUUUGACAACUACCGCAUCUCUAUCUCUUUGUGAACUUUUAAUGAUCUUUUCAAACAGGAUAUAUUCACGCUACUGAAAUCCUAAGAUAGACAACGACGAGUUCUUGUAAUUAAGAGAAACACGAGAAUUAUAUGAUGUAUCUUUUUUUAUUAUCUUCCAUUUUCUUUUCUUUUGGUACAAAUUUUAUAUUUCGGUCUAGCUAUAUUCUAUAUUUAGUACGUUAUAGUUCUACUAUUAAUGGAAAUUUCAGUCAAAGAAAUCAACCUGAUCUCUUUCACACAACAAGAAUGACAACGGUUUCUGAUCAACCUAAUUGCGAAUAAAACAACAAAGACGUAUCUUUUCUGGGAAAUAUCGCAUCGUUUCGUACGAAAGAUGAGACGAUCGAGAAACAUAUACCUAUAUCACACGAAGGCUACGAGUUUCGUCCGUUCGAAAUAAAAAUGUGGCACAUAUGCACAAUUCUUGGACACAAAGAGGAAAUUAUUAGGUUUGUCAACGAUCUGCUUGAGUUGUCCGAGUAAAUUGCUCGAAUUACCUCAGCACCCGGCAAUGGAAGGUGACCUACUGUCAGAAACGAUCUCUCCAAAGGAUUGUGCAACUUGAAACUUUAGAAUUUUUCUUCUUCCGCCAUUCGGUUCUCUUUUGAAGGGACCCAAUUACCAAGGUGAUAUAGGCGAUCUCGCAUUAGGAAUUCGCCGUCCUUUAAGAAGAUUGAAAAUCGUUCUUCAUAACAGCUUAAUAGUCAGCUCACAGCUCGUUUUGACCCUGUGAUCGAGAUAAUGAAGCGAUUUAACAUGGAAAUUUGCGAAACGGUCAACCUAAUCUCAGCACAGUAGAAUGUAUUAUUAACCUGAAACGCAUUCGUUUGUGUUUCGUCAUAUUUUUUCUCGUAGGAAUGACAUUAUUCGCAGGAAUAAUAGUUUUCGAGGAAGUAUAAAUCACAUUUGUGGAGGAUUAGUCGUUGUUAGGUUGAGCGAGAUAACGAGAGCGAAAUAUUGCUGUCGCAGUCCGUCAAAUAUAUUUUGAAUAAAUAAAUAAAUAAAUAACUUAUUGACGAAUUUGUGAGUCGUUGGUACAAAUGCAAGUUACGGAAUACAUACUCGAUGAAUACUCGGAGAAACUUUGUAGAUCACUAUACUGGUCGGAGGAGAACCAGAAAAUUCGAAUUCGUCUGCGUUUGAUCUUUGUAUGUAGCGGCGACAUUGUUUUGUCCAGAGUUUAUUUUUCUUACAUUACUUGUAACCUAACGGUCUUGAUACUCCGAGGUAAAACAACAGGAUUUGAAUUUUUCUUUGACUCGUGUGCCGCUACACAUUUUAUACCUUUUGUGGAUGAGCAAUUUUAAAAUUCAGUUUGCCGUCGACCAAUUUUAUUGUAUUAUUAAAUAUGUAUUAUCGUAUUAUGUAUUAUUCUCUGUAUUUCAUUAAAAUUGCAUUUUUAUUUGGUUUCAUUCA